UUUCUAUCUAAAAUAGCAUUCAGUUGCAUUGAGGCGGUGUGGGCCAGUGAAUCAAACCCAUGUUUUAUGGACAUUUAGGAUUUUAUUAGUGGCAGUUUUCAUCUGGUCUGAAUGAAGGCAGGAAUGAAAACAAAUAAAGGGGAAUAACACGUGGUCUCAGUGUUUACACAAAUGAAACGAUGAAAACCUGGUGCACAGAGCCAGCCGGUGUGAACAUGUCGUUCAACAAAACCUGAGGUGGCUCCCUUCACAAGAGCUGGAAAAUACUGACUGACCACAAAGAGUGGACACAGGAGAAUCUGACUGAACAGUCCACGUUGACCUACGCGAUCUCACGGCUGCCAAACGCUUCAACUGCCCCUCCCAUUCCCACACUGACAUCUCUGUCUUGGGCCUCAUCCACUAUCAGAGUGAGGCCCAGCGUAAAUUGAAGGAAUAUCUUGCAGCCCAGCGACUCAAGAACACAAAGUAGUUGAGAUAGAAAAGCUGCCUCUGUUUCUAACACCAAGGAUGUCAAAAAUAAAAUGGGAGAUGAACGAGUCUGAAGAAGGGUCUCGACCCAAAACGUCACCCAUUCCUUCUCUCCAGAGAUGCUGCCUGCAGUCAACAAAUGAAAAGAUUAAACAGAAUAUCAUCAGCGGACAUUGUGGACUUGAACAGCAAAUAGAUCCGAUGAGAGACACAUAUAGCUGUGACCACAGAUUCCAAGUGCGGCCGGCACCUUAUUCAGUGGACUGCUAAUGUUAUUUAACAAAUAAAUAUCUCAUGAUUGUUUUUGAAUAUCUAUUUAUUAAAGCCUGCGACAAAUUAGCCCUCCAGCCCCGCAGAGCUCCUGAAUGUUAAUUGGGUUGUGUCAUGUAUGAUGUCACCAUGCUAAACACAAUCAUUUUUUUAUAUUCCAAAUUUUACAUCUAAAAACUUGACUCAAGUUUAGAAGAUCUGAGGAUUAC